CAGUCGCCACGGUAAUACGUAGGGUGCGAGCGUUAAUCGGAAUUACUGGGCGUAAAGCGUGCGCAGGCGGCUUUGCAAGACAGAUGUGAAAUCCCCGGGCUCAACCUGGGAACUGCAUUUGUGACUGCAAGGCUAGAGUACGGUAGAGGGGGAUGGAAUUCCGCGUGUAGCAGUGAAAUGCGUAGAUAUGCGGAGGAACACCAAUGGCGAAGGCAAUCCCCUGGACCUGUACUGACGCUCAUGCACGAAAGCGUGUGGAGCAAACAGGAUUAGAUACCCCCGUAGUCCCUGUCUCUUAUAC
rnacentral:rRNA from 1 species